UGGGGAAUUUUGGACAAUGGGCGCAAGCCUGAUCCAGCAAUGCCGCGUGCAGGAUGAAGGCCUUCGGGUUGUAAACUGCUUUUGUACGGAACGAAACGGCGAGCUCUAAUACAGUUUGCUAAUGACGGUACCGUAAGAAUAAGCAACGGCUAACUACGUGCCAGCAGCCGCGGUAAUACGUAGGGUGCAAGCGUUAAUCGGAAUUACUGGGCGUAAAGCGUGCGCAGGCGGUUAUGUAAGACAGAUGUGAAAUCCCCGGGCUUAACCUGGGAACUGCAUUUGUGACUGCAUAGCUAGAGUACGGUAGAGGGGGAUGGAAUUCCGCGUGUAGCAGUGAAAUGCGUAGAUAUGCGGAGGAACACCGAUGGCGAAGGCAAUCCCCUGGACCUGUACUGACGCUCAUGCACGAAAGCGUGGGGAGCAAACA
rnacentral:rRNA from 1 species